rnacentral:rRNA from 1 species
GAUGAACGCUGGCGGCGUGCCUAAUACAUGCAAGUCGAGCGAACAGAUGAGGAGCUUGCUCCUCUGACGUUAGCGGCGGACGGGUGAGUAACACGUGGAUAACCUACCUAUAAGACUGGGAUAACUUCGGGAAACCGGAGCUAAUACCGGAUAAUAUAUUGAACCGCAUGGUUCAAUAGUGAAAGACGGUUUUGCUGUCACUUAUAGAUGGAUCCGCGCCGCAUUAGCUAGUUGGUAAGGUAACGGCUUACCAAGGCAACGAUGCGUAGCCGACCUGAGAGGGUGAUCGGCCACACUGGAACUGAGACACGGUCCAGACUCCUACGGGAGGCAGCAGUAGGGAAUCUUACGCAAUGGGCGAAAGCCUGACGGAGCAACGCCGCGUGAGUGAUGAAGGUCUUCGGAUCGUAAAACUCUGUUAUGAGGGAAGAACAAAUGUGUAAGUAACUAUGCACGUCUUGACGGUACCUAAUCAGAAAGCCACGGCUAACUACGUG